GCCCCAGACUCCUACGGGAGGCAGCAGUGGGGGAUAUUGCACAAUGGGGGGAACCCUGAUGCAGCGACGCCGCGUGGGUGAAGAAGUCUUUCGGUAUGUAAAGCCCUAUCGGCAGGGAAGAAAUUGGACGGUACCUGACUAAGAAGCCCCGGCUAACUACGUGCCAGCAGCCGCGGUAAUACGGAGGGGGCAAGCGUUAUCCGGAUUCACUGGGUGUAAAGGGAGCGUAGACGGCCAUGCAAGCCUGGAGUGAAAGCCCGGGGCCCAGCCCCGGGACUGCUCUGGGAACUGUGCGGCUGGAGUGCGGGAGGGGCAGGCGGAAUUCCUGGUGUAGCGGUGAAAUGCGUAGAUAUCAGGAGGAACACCGGCGGCGAAGGCGGCCUGCUGGACCGCGACCGACGUUGAGGCUCGAAAGCGUGGGGAGCAAACAGGAUUAGAUCCCCCCGUA
rnacentral:rRNA from 1 species